CCAAAUUUUGAAGUGUACCCCUAUUUUGCAAAAGCAGGGGGUACAUGUACCCUCAACUUUAAAAAUGAGUGGGCAUGCUGACAGUGCAGUAUUUAUUUCAUACCCAUCGAGAUGUUAAAUCACAGGUGUGUAACUUUGUUCGAAAGAAGAAUAAAAUUUUUUAUGGGUAAUUAUCUGACAUUGAUAAAGGUAGUUGUUGUUAACAUAGUAUUAUUUUCAUUAAGAAACAAAAGAGAUAUGUCAGAAGAAAAAUGCGCACUUUAACUGUUACUUAAAACCAGAUUCCAUUGGAGCAAUUAAUGCAACUGUGUCAACAGGAGGUCUGUCUCAUCAGGUACAUUAUAUAGCUAUAUAUUCAGCCUCUUGCUGAACUGAAUUACUAUCAGUCAGUUACCAGAAAGUUCUAUACAGAACAAAAUUUAAAUUGCUCUUUAUUUCUUUUUUAAAAGUAAAGCGUCAGUUUUAAGUGCAUAAAAAGGCAAAAUGCCACAAAGGCUGUUUAAAGUAUGGAACAGGAGCAGGGAUACUAAGAAAAUAAUUGUGGCACAAUUACUUAAAGAGGUGCUGCAAAAAGCUGCAGUUAAACUCGGUUUGAUGAGUGAAGUACGGGCAGUGCUAGAGGUGGAUGGAACAGAAAUUGAAGAUGAUGAAGUUUUAUCCCUGUUUACGAAAGGUGACGUCAUCAUGGUGUUGGAAGUCGGCCAAGAGUGGGAAGGGGCAGCCACUGUUUUAACAGUUCAUGCUAGUGAACAGAAUUAAACCACGGAUGUGAAUGAUCAGUCAGAGAGACAAACAGAGUCAUGUAAAGAUCGGUCAGAGAGACGACCAGAGCCUUAUCAAAAGCAGUGUAACAGCCCAGAAACUGAAAAGAUGCCCAAACUGAGUGAAUACAUUCACAAGAAGUUGAUUCAAAAGGAGAGCCAUCUGGUUUGGUUCAAACUGAUACAAGACUGUGCAUAUCAUUUCAUCACAUUCUUUUCACAAAUUGGAUUGGACAACAGUUCUGGGGACUACCGGGAAAUAGGGAGUGAGAUGUUUAAGAUGUAUCCAUUGAUUGCACAUGAUGGUACCCAUCCAUGGAUAAUUCUAUUUCAUGACUCCUUUCAGCAACCAUUUGAGGGGCAUAAGAGUUAUGGAUUUAUUCAGUUUUUGAAAAGAGUUUCAUUAGAGAUGGAGAAGCAGAACGAAAAAGAAAACAACGCCACUGGUUCCUCCAGAAAGUGACUUCCAGUUUCAGUUGUUUCACUGUUAGACAUAGAAAUGAAUGUCAUGAAAGCAUUUUAGGCUGUACAAAAGUGCCGUUUUCUAAUUUUUUUAGUAAUUUAAAAACAUACUAAAUUUUAAUCAUUUAGUACAUUGUUUUUAGCUCACCUGUCACAUAGUGACAGGGUGAGCUUUUGUGAUCGCCCUUCAUUCGUCAUCCGUCCACAAUUU
rnacentral:lncRNA from 1 species